UCCGUAGGUGAACCUGCGGAAGGAUCAUUACCUAGAGUUGUAGGCUUUGCCUACCAUCUCUUACCCAUGUCUUUUGAGUACCUUCGUUUCCUCGGCGGGUCCGCCCGCCGAUUGGACAAACUUAAACCCUUUGUAAUUGAAAUCAGCGUCUGGAAAAACAUAAUAGUUACAACUUUCAACAACGGAUCUCUUGGUUCUGGCAUCGAUGAAGAACGCAGCGAAAUGCGAUAAGUAGUGUGAAUUGCAGAAUUCAGUGAAUCAUCGAAUCUUUGAACGCACAUUGCGCCCCUUGGUAUUCCAUGGGGCAUGCCUGUUCGAGCGUCAUUUGUACCUUCAAGCUCUGCUUGGUGUUGGGUGUUUGUCUCGCCUUUGCGUGUAGACUCGCCUUAAAACAAUUGGCAGCCGGCGUAUUGAUUUCGGAGCGCAGUACAUCUCGCGCUUUGCACUCAUAACGACGACGUCCAAAAAGUACUUUUUACACUCUUGACCUCGGAUCAGGUAGGGAUACCCGCUGAACUUAAGCAUAUCAAUAAGCGGAGGA
rnacentral:rRNA from 1 species